rnacentral:rRNA from 1 species
UACAGAGACUGCAAGCGUUAUUCGGAUUCACUGGGCGUAAAGGGUGCGCAGGCGGCCAAGUGUGUGAGGCGUGAAAGCCCGGGGCUUAACCCCGGAAUUGCACCUCAAACUACAUGGCUAGAGCAUUGGAGAGGGAUGCGGAAUUCCUGGUGUAGCGGUGGAAUGCGCAGAUAUCAGGAGGAACACCGGUGGCGAAGGCGGGAUCCUGGGCCAGUACUGACGCUGAGGAGCGAAAGCGUGGGGAGCAAACAGG